GUCAGAACCAGAGACCAGAACCAGCAGACCCGGUCAGAACCCAUCCAGAACCCGUCCUCAGCUCGGAGCAGCUGCUGCCGGAUCGGACCAGGAUGUGGACGUGUUUGAUCCUCCUCAGCCUGCUGGAUCAGAACCAGGCUGCUCCUCUUCCUGGGAAACAUGGAGACCUGGUUCUGAUGGUUCUGCAGCAGCAAGUGGCCCAAACUGCGGUAAGACACAAGGUUCUGAUGGGAACCGGACUCUGGUUCUGGUCCAGAUCUGGAGCUUUAAGGCCCAGAAGAGUCCAACAGGACCGAAAGGCUUCAAGAUUAUAAGAGGAGA